rnacentral:rRNA from 1 species
UACGUAGGGUGCAAGCGUUAAUCGGAAUUACUGGGCGUAAAGCGUGCGCAGGCGGUUUUGUAAGUCUGACGUGAAAUCCCCGGGCUCAACCUGGGAAUUGCGUUGGAGACUGCAAGGCUGGAGUCUGGCAGAGGGGGGUAGAAUUCCACGUGUAGCAGUGAAAUGCGUAGAGAUGUGGAGGAACACCGAUGGCGAAGGCAGCCCCCUGGGUCAAGACUGGACGCUCAUGGCACGAAAGCGUGGGGAGCAACAGG